GACGAACGCUGGCGGCGUGCCUAAUACAUGCAAGUAGAACGCACAGUUUAUACCGUAGCUUGCUACACCAAAAACUGUGAGGUGUGAACGGGUGAGUAACGCGUAGGUAACCUGCCUGGUAGCGGGGGAUAACUAUUGGAAACGAUAGCUAAUACCGCAUAAUAUUGAUUAUUGCAUGAUAAUUGAUUGAAAGAUGCUAUUGCAUCACUACCAGAUGGACCUGCGUUGUAUUAGCUAGUAGGUGAGGUAACGGCUCACCUAGGCGAGGAAACAUAGCCGACCUGAGAGGGUGAGAGGCCUCACUGGGCCUGAGACACGGCCCAGAAUCCUACGAGAGGCAGCAGUAGGGAAUCUUCGGCAAUGGACGAAAGUGUGACCGUGCAACGCCGCGUGAGUGCAGAAGGUAUUCGGAUCGUGAAGCUCUGUUGUAAGAGAGGAUCGGGUGUGAGAGUGGAAAGGUCACACAGUGACGGUAUCUUACCAGAAAGGGACGGCUAACUACGUG
rnacentral:rRNA from 1 species